UCUCACUUCACCAGAAAUUUGAUUUCAAUUCAUUCUUAUCAACCGCCAGAAUUCAUCCCCAAAUCAAUCUCACUUCACUCCGAUCAAAUCGAAACCAGAAAUGGAAGCAACAAUAAGCCCCCAAUUUCUUCCCCCAAAAUCAAUCAUCGCUCAAUUCGACGCCCCCAAUAUCCCCCCUCAAAACCCUAAUCACCUACUCGGAUUCCCAAUUCCAGUUCCACCGCCGCGACUGCUGUUCUGGAAGAGCCUGACGUGGACGGAUGCGACGAGCCACCGGCUGUACAUCAACGAGAGGUUCAGGCCGGGGCUGAUGGCGGAGCUGACGGCACCAGAGCGACGCAGAGUGGAGACGGAUUUUGAUCGGCGAUGAGACGGGUUUUCUCGGGGUUCUGGCUAGGAUGAAUGCACUGAUCGCCAGGGGAGAGCUGGUGCUCCAGAAAGAGUGGAGAGAUCUGGCGAUGAGAAACGGAUUGGUCGACGGGGAUGCAUUGGCGGGAUACGGCUACCGCAACAGCCUUGAUUGCCAUGGUGCUUACGGCAGCGGAGGCGAAGGCCAGGGCGGCGAGGGCGAAGGAGAUAGCGGAAUUGGAGGCGCUAGUAGCAGAGAGAGCGGAGUUGGAGGCGCAAAGUGUUGUGUUGAAGUGCAGAGUAGGCAUGUGCUUUUCUUUUUUCCUUUUAUUUUUAAUAAUUACAUCAUCGGCGACAUCCACAAUAAUUACAUUGAUUGACUAUGAACAAGAUUUGAUUUUUUUUUCUUUUUAUUUUUAAUAAUUAUAUCAAUUGACUACAUGUUACGAACAAGAUUUGAUUUUUUUUUCUUUCUAUUUUUAAUAAUUAUAUCGAUUGGUGACGCCCACAAUAAUUAUAUCGAUUGACUACAUGUUAUGAACAAGAUUUGAUUUUUUUUUUCUUUUUAUUUUUAAUAAUUAUAUCUAUUGGUGACACCCACAAUAAUUAUAUCGAUUGACUACAUAUUAUGAACAAGAUUUGAUUUUGAUUGUGGAAAGUUUAAUUGUUUUGAAUUUUUUUAUCAGAAAAUCAAAUAUACAGUAAACCACAACAGAGAAUCAACCCCAAAAUCCAAAAUGUACGUUGAAGUUUUGUUUCUGGCAGUAUAAAUUUAGCAGAUUAUGAUUUUCUAGGCGCACAAGGCCAGUGCUUUCUAAUUUUUGCAUUGUGAUUUGCGGGUGGAAACAUAUUUUUGUAUUAAUGUUUGUGUAGUAUUUGUUUAAUAAAUGCAGGUUUAUGGUUAUAAAGUGAUUUUCAAUGGA